GACGAACGCUGGCGGCGUGCCUAAUACAUGCAAGUUGAGCGAUGAAGAUUGGUGCUUGCACCCAUUUGAAGAGCAGCGAACGGGUGAGUAACGCGUGGGGAAUCUGCCUUUGAGCGGGGGACAACAUUUGGAAACGAAUGCUAAUACCGCAUAACAACUUUAAACAUAAGUUUUAAGUUUGAAAGAUGCAAUUGCAUCACUCAAAGAUGAUCCCGCGUUGUAUUAGCUAGUUGGUGAGGUAAAGGCUCACCAAGGCGAUGAUACAUAGCCGACCUGAGAGGGUGAUCGGCCACAUUGGGACUGAGACACGGCCCAAACUCCUACGGGAGGCAGCAGUAGGGAAUCUUCGGCAAGAGACGAAAGUCUGACCGAGCAACGCCGCGUGAGUGAAGAAGGUUUUCGGAUCGUAAAACUCUGUUGGUAGAGAAGAACGUUGGUGAGAGUGGAAAGCUCAUCAAGUGACGGUAACUACCCAGAAAGGGACGGCUAACUACGUG
rnacentral:rRNA from 1 species